AUGAUAUUCACACAUAGCUAAAAAUUUAUCAAGUGUGUUUCUUUGCUAGCAAGGCUUCCGAUAAUGGAUUUCUAUGUGUGAUAUAAGUGUUUUACCUUGUUUCCUCUUCUUUUCUGGAAAAAGAAAAAAAAAAACCAAAAAAAAAAGGAAAAGAAGAGGGAGUAGGGGGGGGGAGGGUGGAUUGGGAGAGGGGCAGCGAAUUUCCAGGCCCUUUAGUCUUGAAUUGCCGGCUUUAGUGCAAUAAUGUUGUUAUUUCACAUUUGGCCCCUAUAUUAUUUUGUACAAAUUGGCUGAGCUUUCACAAGUAUUCUUGGGAUUUCUUUAUCCUAGAAAUUGAGAAAAAUGUAAAGAUGCUGAAGUUGCCAAAAUACUGAGCAGUUCAAGAAGUUUCUAUAUUUGGUUUUCCAACAGCAUACUCUGUUGCUCUUUAUCUCUUAUUUUCUUCCUCCUCAUCAUUCUCUUC
rnacentral:misc_RNA from 1 species